rnacentral:rRNA from 1 species
GAUGAACGCUGGCGGCGUGCCUAAUACAUGCAAGUCGAGCGAACAGAUGAGGAGCUUGCUCCUCUGACGUUAGCGGCGGACGGGUGAGUAACACGUGGAUAACCUACCUAUAAGACUGGGAUAACUUCGGGAAACCGGAGCUAAUACCGGAUAAUAUAUUGAACCGCAUGGUUCAAUAGUGAACGACGGUUUUGCUGUCACUUAUAGAUGGAUCCGCGCCGCAUUAGCUAGUUGGUAAGGUAACGGCUUACCAAGGCAACGAUGCGUAGCCGACCUGAGAGGGUGAUCGGCCACACUGGAACUGAGACACGGUCCAGACUCCUACGGGAGGCAGCAGUAGGGAAUCUUCCGCAAUGGGCGAAAGCCUGACGGAGCAACGCCGCGUGAGUGAUGAAGGUCUUCGGAUCGUAAAACUCUGUUAUUAGGGAAGAACAAAUGUGUAAGUAACUAUGCACGUCUUGACGGUACCUAAUCAGAAAGCCACGGCUAACUACGUG